rnacentral:ncRNA from 2 species
GAUAAAGAUAGAGGUAGCGAUGCAGAUGAGUACGUUUUCGAGCAGGCAUGCGAAGAAAAAACGGAAAGGCAACCAUCGCCGAAAGAAUCAAAGUGGCGGUUUUGUUUCUUGGGGCAUCAGGAAAGACCUGAUGCACUCCUUCAAUCAUGAAGAGGCGUUAUCAACAUG